CAAUAGCGUAUAUUAAAGUUGUUGCAGUUAAAAAGCUCGUAGUUGAAUUUUUGCUUGCCGCCGAUGUCGGAACUUCCGUACGUUCGGCGGCGUGCAUCCUUGGGUGGAACCUGUGUGGCAUUAGGUUGUCGUGCAGGGGAUGCUCAUCGUUUACUGUGAAAAAAUUAGAGUGUUCAAAGCAGGCUUACGCCGUUGAAUAUAUUAGCAUGGAAUAAUAAGAUAGGACUUUGGUACUAUUUUGUUGGUUUGCGCACCGAGGUAAUGAUUAACAGGGACAGUUGGGGGUAUUCGUAUUCCAUUGUCAGAGGUGAAAUUCUUGGAUUUCUGGAAGACGAACUACUGCGAAAGCAUUUACCAAGGAUGUUUNCAUUG
rnacentral:rRNA from 1 species